AAAAUUGAAAAAAAUUUGGUUGUAUUUGAUGAAAGGAAGAAAGUGGGGGAGGUGUAAGGUGUUUGUUUGUUUAACGUGAACAUGCAGGAAGGUGUUGUAUUGACCACAGCAAUGCCCUCUUCAUCUUCAUCAUCAUCAUCUUCAUCUUGGAGCCACCAUUGCAACAAUCUCUGUAACUGCAAACACGCUCCUUCCGCCACCUUAGACCUUCUCAUCCUUCUUCUCGUUCUUUUCUCCGGCGCUUUCCUUCUUUCUUCUUAUUUCUCCUACAUCUUCAACUCCCUUUCUCUCCUCCUUCCUUCCAUCUCUCUCCCCAUUCCUUACAUCAUCGCAUUUGUUAUCUUCUUCGCUGUUUCGGUUUUCGCUGUCGAGGUUUGUUGUGGUGCCCGAUCUCGGAAGUGCCAGAGGAGCGGUUGUAGGGGACUCAAGAAUGCUACGGAGUUUGAUUUGCAGAUAGAGAGGUUUGGUUCAGGUUCGGGAUUAGGUUUGGGUGAAUAUGAUAAACUUCCUUGGAAAGGUGGGAGUGAAGGGAAUCCUGAUUAUGAGUGUCUUAGGUCUGAGCUUAGGAAAAUGGCUCCGCCUAAUGGUCGUGCGCUUUUGCUUUUUAGGGCUCCUUGUGGUUGUCCUAUUGCAAAACUUGAAGCUUCUGGUCCCAAGAAAGGAAAGCGUCAUAAGAGAAGUUGAGGUGUCGCACGCGCACACACAUUUGGGGCAUAUCGAGCUGGAGUGUAAUAGAAGUGAUUGGCCAUCCACUAAUUCAAAUUUAUUGAAGACUUGAAGAUAUGCUCGUUGGACUUUAACAUAUCUUCUCUGAAUGGUAACUCUGAACCUCUGAUUUUAAUGCUUUGAGCAGGUCUCUCCCCAAUGCGACUCUUGAUGGAGGAGGAGAUCAUCGUUGAUCAACUGUGCUGGCAUCUCAUUUAUACUUAAACCAUUAUCAUUCUCAUGGUUACCCAUUAAUUGAAAAGUUUCAUUUCAGAACAAUUUUUUAAGAAAGAAAAUAGCAAUGUAGUUUUAACAAUCCUUCCUUGUAUUGUAUCUGCACUGUCCAGGAGUGUCUAUAAACUUUUGAAGGAUCUUACUGAAUUGACUCCAAAUAACAUGUGGUUCAUCGUUAUUCCAUUUCAUAA